UGUGACAUAGGCGGUGAGGCCUCCUCCCGCUGGGCACCCCCUGGCACCCCUUCCCCGGUGCCAGGAAGUGCAAGGCGGGCGGGGACCUGACCGACCUAGUCCCUUUCA
rfam:Marine metagenome 1095439022630, whole genome shotgun sequence.